AAGACCUCGCGCGAAUGGAGCGGCCGAUGGCAGAUUAGGUAGUUGGUGGGGUAAAGGCUCACCAAGCCGACGAUCUGUAGCUGGUCUGAGAGGACGACCAGCCACACUGGGACUGAGACACGGCCCAGACUCCUACGGGAGGCAGCAGUGGGGAAUUUUGGACAAUGGGCGCAAGCCUGAUCCAGCCAUUCCGCGUGCAGGAUGAAGGCCUUCGGGUUGUAAACUGCUUUUGUACGGAACGAAACGGCCCUUUCUAAUACAGGGGGCUAAUGACGGUACCGUAAGAAUAAGCACCGGCUAACUACGUGCCAGCAGCCGCGGUAAUACGUAGGGUGCAAGCGUUAAUCGGAAUUACUGGGCGUAAAAGCGUGCGCAGGCGGUUAUGUAAGACAGUUGUGAAAAUCCCCCGGGCUCAACCUGGGAACUGCAUCUGUGACUGCAUAGCUAGAGUACGGUAGAGGGGGAUGGAAUUCCGCGUGUAGCAGUGAAAUGCGUAGAUAUGCGGAGGAACACCGAUGGCG
rnacentral:rRNA from 1 species